AUUGAACGCUGGCGGCAUGCCUUACACAUGCAAGUCGAACGGCAGCACGGGAGCAAUCCUGGUGGCGAGUGGCGAACGGGUGAGUAAAGUAUCGGAACGUGCCCAGUCGUGGGGGAUAACGUAGCGAAAGUUACGCUAAUACCGCAUACGAUCUAUGGAUGAAAGCGGGGGAUCGCAAGACCUCGCGCGGUUGGAGCGGCCGAUAUCAGAUUAGGCAGUUGGUGGGGUAAAGGCUCACCAAGCCGACGAUCUGUAGCUGGUCUGAGAGGACGACCAGCCACACUGGGACUGAGACACGGCCCAGACUCCUACGGGAGGCAGCAGUGGGGAAUUUUGGACAAUGGGCGAAAGCCUGAUCCAGCCAUGCCGCGUGCAGGAUGAAGGCCUUCGGGUUGUAAACUGCUUUUGUACGGAACGAAAAGGUUUGGCCUAAUAAGCUGAGCUCAUGACGGUACCGUAAGAAUAAGCACCGGCUAACUACGUGCCAGCCGCCGCGGUAA
rnacentral:rRNA from 1 species